rnacentral:RNase_P_RNA from 1 species
UGGGGAGGCUGGGUAGCCGCCCCCCCCGAUACGCUGGGGGGGAGGAAAGUCCGGGCUCCGCCGGGCAGGAUGCUGGGUAACGCCCAGGAGGGGUAACCCUACGGAAAGUGCCACAGAAACCAGACCGCCAGCGGCCCCGGCCAGCCGGGGUGCGGGCAAGGGUGAAAAAGUGAGGUAAGAGCUCACUGCACCCCCGGGUGACCAGGGGUGUGGGCAAACCCCAUCUGGAGCAAGACCGAAUAGGAGGGUGAGGAGACGCCCGGCUCCCAGUCCGCCGCAGGCGGGCUAAGCCCUCGGGUUGGUCGCUGGACCCCGGCGGUAACGACGGGGCUAGAGAAAUGGUUGCCGCCCCCGGAACAACGGGACGAAGGCCUCAGGGUUGUAAACCGCUUUCACAGGGGGUACAGAACCCGGCUUACAGGCCUCCCCACUUU